rnacentral:rRNA from 1 species
GAUGAACGCUGGCGGCGUGCUUAACACAUGCAAGUCGAACGGGAAAUAUUUCAUUGAGACUUCGGUGGAUUUGAUUUAUUUCUAGUGGCGGACGGGUGAGUACCGCGUGGGUAACCUGCCUUAUACAGGGGGAUAACAGUCAGAAAUGGCUGCUAAUACCGCAUAAGCGCACAGAGCUGCAUGGCUCAGUGUGAAAAACUCCGGUGGUAUAAGUUGGACCCGCGUUGGAUUAGCUAGUUGGGGGGGUAACGGCCCCCCAAGGCGACGACCCAUAGCCGGCCUGAGAGGGUGGGCGCCCACAUUGGGACUGGGACGCGGCCCAGACUCCUACGCGAGGCAGCAAUGGGUAAUAUUGCACAAUGGGGGAAGCCCUGAUGCAGCGACGCCGCGUGAAGGAAGAAGUAUCUCGGUAUGUAAACUUCUAUCAGCAGGGAAGAUAGUGACGGUACCUGACUAAGAAGCCCCGGCUAACUACGUG